rnacentral:rRNA from 1 species
UACAGAGGGGGCAAGCGUUGUUCGGAAUUACUGGGCGUAAAGGGCGCGUAGGCGGCCUUCUAAGUCGAACGUGAAAUCCCCGGGCUCAACCCGGGAACUGCGUCCGAUACUGGAAGGCUUGAAUCCGGGAGAGGGAUGCGGAAUUCCAGGUGUAGCGGUGAAAUGCGUAGAUAUCUGGAGGAACACCGGUGGCGAAGGCGGCGAUCCGUGGACCGGCAUUGACGCGUGAGGCGCGAAAGCCAGGGGAGCAAAGCGGG